CCCCCUGAAAACCCUGAGGAUGUCUGCCAGUGGCUCCUCAGACACCAUCCUCUAAAUCAGAAUAUCUGUUAUUUAUUUAAAGCUUUAUUCUCAUUGAGAGGUAACAUGGAGAAUGGACAGAGAGGGAGCCUCAGGGUUAAGAAGAACUGGAUCCAAGUCCUGGGGCUCUUUAACCCUAGGAGAAUAAAUGGAAAUCUAUGUGGAAGAUGGUGCUUCAGUUGCAGCUCUCCUUCUCGUCCUCGACAAGAGCAUCCUGGUUACCCUCCUCUGGAGAUUGCCCUGUGUUUACCAGAUUUUCAUUUGAGGCCGAUUGGGAAGGUGGCAACAGCUAAGAAAGAUGGUGCUGUCCUUCUAACUUAACUGGAAGCAGUUAAGCCCAGGCCAGAGAUUUCCUUUAUCAAAUUGGAUGUUAGCUUGAUUUGGGAUGAAAAUCACUUGGGGCAGACAGCCCCUAUAAGUGCAAUUUCCAGUGCUGCAGAUACCCACUGGAAUUGUCCCUCAGGGUCUGCUGACAAAUAUAGGAGGAGGUUGAAUGCCCACACCCCAAGAGCAAUGUAGACACUAGUGCACAGAUUCCCUUAAAGGACCUGGGGCUUUCCUCAUACCCCUGUCUUCUAGGAGGAAGGGAACUGGGCACAUGGAUCCUUUCUCUUAGUUCUGCCACUUAACAGCUGUGUGACCCUAGAUAAGUCAUCUCUCCUCCAAGGAUCUUGGUCUCUCCAGCUUUGGCUUGGAUUAGAUGACCUCUGAAGCCCCUCCCAGGUCUCAAUUUGUGAUCCUACAAUUCAGUGGAGGGUCCUAUAAUGAUUUCUGGAUUCACAUCCAAGUCUAGUGGCCUGUCUUCUACAAGAUCCAGUUGUUUCCAGCAAAUCUAUAUGGGAGAUGGUACUCCUUCAGCAGCUGAUGGGGAAUGAGAUGCGGCUAAGUAACCUGACUGCUGCCAGCCCUACGGAAGAGGGUUAUUUGUGACAGGCAAGCUAAGGCUAGAAAACAGCUUCAGAAUUUGUUUGGAUUGAAUGGAUGGAAGGUGUCAUUAUGGGUGGAAGACCAAGAAGGAAGCAUUUUUCUUCUUUUUUAAAAAUACUGAGGGAUUGUUGUUUAACAGAACCCCUCCUCUGGCUAUUUGCCCCUAUGAGAUACCAACAGUGCUAUCAUAGGUGGCCUCACUUGCUUUUGUGAUAUUGUUUAUGGUUACGGUGGAAAGGCUCUUCCUUUUCUCUGCCUCCAGUCAGAGUCCUUGGUGGCCAACUCUUGGGCAGCUUUGGAGGAGAUGCACAGGACACAUUGGACACACAAGCAGUUGCCUGACUUCCUGGAGAUACCAUUGCAUGACAAGGUCUGUCCUUCUUGAAGGCCUUGAAGUACAAGGAUGACGCUCCGAGCUCUCUGGAGGGUCGCUGGGGGUGGGGUGUUUUUAAAUAAAGAGUGUGGAAGAGUCCACUCUUCUCAUGAGGAGGAUGCAGCAUGCUUCUCUUGGAGAUGACACUCAGUGGAGUUGCAGCUGGUGAAGACAAUGGGUCUAGCAGGAAUCAAAUCCAGUGGGAGCCAUGUGAUGACACCAUCAGAAGAUAACAGUGACUUUGCAGUCUUGGAGGCACAGGAAGCCAUGAUUGUGCCCUGGCUCCACAUAGUGUUCCUGGGUCACGUAUGUUCCCUGUGUGGUCUUCUCUCUUCCCACUAACAGUAUAUGCAUUUGUGGCAUACAGUGCCCAAGAAUAUUUUGGGGGGAAUUUUUUAUUGUAAUUUCCUCAUGAUAUUUCAUUAAAUGUCCUUUCCUUUGAACUAAUUUUGUCCUGUGGCUAAUCACUAAAGGCAUUGGUGGGGGAUCAGAAGCCAUAUUGUUGAGUGGCUUUGGACCCAAAUAAUGGGAAAGGGUGUUAGCACCCCAUUCUGUGAGGUGUAGAUGUUGUCUCCAGGAACAUGUAGCCAUAGUCUUCUACACAUAAAUAACUGUAACUUAUCACAUUAUAUGCCAAGUGAAUUUGAGAGGUGCAGAGCAAUGUGCCAUGUGAGUCAGGGGAAGAUCAUUACUUAUAGGAGGGAUCAGGAGAACAUAAUGGAAAAGGUGGCAUGUGAACUAGGCUUCAAAAGCACUUAGUACUUAGCAGUUAGUGGGAAAAUGAGAGGAAAAAGGGUCUCUGCAGAAAUGAUUUCCACCUUGAACUUCUAGUGCCCAUGUACCACUGAACAGAGUCAAGUGAACUCUCUCAAUGUGGAUGGUGAACAAGUCAUCUUUCAGCAUUGGAUCUAACC